AACAAAGAAGUGGUAUUGUUU
rnacentral:misc_RNA from 1 species